UAAAGAUUCAUCGCUGAUAGAUAGGCAUGCGUUCCAUUAGGCAGUUGGCGGGGUAACGGCCCACCAAACCGACGAUGGAUAGGGGUUCUGAGAGGAAGGUCCCCCACAUUGGUACUGAGACACGGACCAAACUCCUACGGGAGGCAGCAGUGAGGAAUAUUGGUCAAUGGGCGUAAGCCUGAACCAGCCAAGUCGCGUGAGGGAUGAAGGUUCUAUGGAUCGUAAACCUCUUUUAUAAGGGAAUAAAGUGUGGGACGUGUCCUAUUUUGUAUGUACCUUAUGAAUAAGGAUCGGCUAACUCCGUGCCAGCAGCCGCGGUAAUACGGAGGAUCCGAGCGUUAUCCGGAUUUAUUGGGUUUAAAGGGUGCGUAGGCGGCCUUUUAAGUCAGCGGUGAAAGUCUGUGGCUCAACCAUAGAAUUGCCGUUGAAACUGGGGGGCUUGAGUAUGUUUGAGGCAGGCGGAAUGCGUGGUGUAGCGGUGAAAUGCUUAGAUAUCACGCAGAACCCCGAUUGCGAAGGCAGCCUGCCAAGCCAUGACUGACGCUGAUGCACGAAAGCGUGGGGAUCAAGCAGGAUUAGAUACCCUGGUAGUCCACGCAGUAAACGAUGAUCACUAGCUGUUUGCGAUACAGUGUAA
rnacentral:rRNA from 1 species